ensembl:snRNA U2 U2 spliceosomal RNA
AUCGCUUCUUGGCCUUUUGGCUAAGCUCAACUGUAGUAUCUGUUCUUAUCAGUUUUAACCUAAGUAUAGUAUAAAGUAUAAAAACUGAAGCUUGAAGUACCUAGAUAAAUACUUUUUAAAAAGGACUCUGGCCAGGCAUCAUGGUGCAUACCAGCACUUGGGAAGCUGAAACAG